UUGCUCCCUGAUCUUAGCGGCGGACGGGUGAGUAACACGUGGGCAACCUGCCCUGCAGACUGGGAUAACUCCGGGAAACCGGAGCUAAUACCGGGUAAUACAUCGCACCGCAUGGUGCAAUGUUGAAAGUUGGCUUUCGAGCUAACACUGCAGGAUGGGCCCGCGGCGCAUUAGCUAGUUGGUAAGGUAAUGGCUUACCAAGGCGACGAUGCGUAGCCGACCUGAGAGGGUGAUCGGCCACACUGGGACUGAGACACGGCCCAGACUCCUACGGGAGGCAGCAGUAGGGAAUCUUCCGCAAUGGACGAAAGUCUGACGGAGCAACGCCGCGUGAGUGACGAAGGCCUUCGGGUCGUAAAGCUCUGUUGUUAGGGAAGAACAAGUACCGUUCGAAUAGGGCGGUACCUUGACGGUACCUAACCAGAAAGCCACGGCUAACUACGUGCCAGCAGCCGCGGUAAUACGUAGGUGGCAAGCGUUGUCCGGAAUUAUUGGGCGUAAAGCGCGCGCAGGCGGUCUUUUAAGUCUGAUGUGAAAGCCCACGGCUCAACC
rnacentral:rRNA from 1 species